rnacentral:rRNA from 1 species
GACAGAGGGUGCAAACGUUGUUCGGAAUUACUGGGCGUAAAGCGCGUGUAGGCGGCCCUGCAAGUCGGAUGUGAAAUCCCACGGCUCAACCGUGGAAGUGCAUUCGAAACUGCAGGGCUAGAGUCCUGGAGAGGAAGGUGGAAUGCUUGGUGUAGAGGUGAAAUUCGUAGAUAUCGAGAGGAACACCGGUGGCGAAGGCGGCCAACUGGACAGAUACUGACGCUGAGACUCGAAAGCGUGGGGAGCAAACAGG